UUAGGGGCGGAGCCUGCGGCGGAAGCGGCAUCCGCAGGCUCGGUGCGCGGCAGGUUGCAGCGAUGCCGCCUGCGGGGUGGCUGCGGCUGGUGGCCGCGCUCUGCAGCCUCCUGCUGGGGCAGGCCCAGGCCCCGAGCCCCGGGGUGCCGCCGGAGCGGAGCCGGCCCUACGCGGUGCUGCGCGGGCAGAACCUGGUGUUGAUGGGGACCAUUUUCAGCAUCCUGCUGGUGACCGUCAUCCUUAUGGCAUUUUGUGUCUACAAGCCCAUCCGUCGUCGGUGAUGGCUGCACGGGGUCACCCUGUUUCGAGUUUCUGGGACGGGAACAUGAGCCGCUGGAGAUGGUGGAAUCAGCUUCUUGGAAGUGAUCAUUGAUCUGAUGGGUGGUAAACGUGACGGGCUUUGAGAAGGCACCCAGCAGUAAUCGUUACCCUAACAUCAGUUAUUGGCGGCUGAGUCAACGUCUCAGUGUUUCUUUUUGUUUGGCUGUACCAGUUAAAAGUGAAGCCGGAAGCCCCAAGGUUCCCGGUAAAGAUGUGUCCAUUGCAGUGUCCACCGGAAGAACCGCACUGGAGAAGAGGAUGCAUCACUAAUGCUUGAAAUAGUAAGGAGACUUAACAUGUAGACAUCCCCUGCUUUCAACCAUUCUGUCACUGUGUGUUGCUCACACAUGGGGGCCAGGAAGAUGGCUCAGCAGGUAGAGGGGCUUGCCAACAAGCCUGAUGACCUGAGUUUGAUUCCCAGCACUCAUCUGGUGGAAGGAGAGAACCGACUCCCAUGGGUUGUUCUCUGACCCCCGCAGAUGAGUAAAUAUAAAAACAAAGCCCACGUUUUUGCUCUACUGAGCUACCCUGGAAUGCCCUGGGUGCAAAGCCAGCGUUCACUGUGGGCCACCUAGGCCAGCGCUCCUGCAUCGCACUGUACUUGAAUGCCCACAGUUCUGCCAGGAUUGUAUCCUCGGUCUGUAACCCCAAGCCCCCUUGGCCUGGAAGGCUCUGGGUUGGACUGGAAAUGCUCCUGUCUAUCAGAAGAACAACUCCACCUGACCCAAACAUUGAUGUCCCUCUCACCCGCGGCUCAGGCCUGUGGUAGCUUUUCAGAUGGGAACGUGAGACUUCGCUCCCCCUCUUCACGCGGCUGUCGAGGGGCCCGUCAGCCAUUGUCCACUGUGCAGGCUGCUGUGUUUACAAGGCUGCCAGCUUUUCAAGUGCUGCUACUGAACUAGAUUUCCCUGCUGAUAUUUUCAUCGUGAUAGUGAUUAUUAGUAUUUAUUUGAAAGGUGCUGGAUUUAAUUUUGUUAUAGAAUUGUUGUAAUGCUUAACCUUGUGUUCCCUGCAAGCACAGCACUGGUCUUUUUUGUCUUAUAAUCUAAUAACCUGUACUUGAUGUGAAUUAACUGAUGAGGAGCACUGUAACUGUUGGGGUCUUGUUGGUAACCCUGUAACACUGAGCCAUUAAAAUGUCAAGAUUAAAGAGAAA